GCUACUCAAUAGUUCAGUUAGUUAGAGCGUGGUGCUGAUAAUGCCAAGGUUGCAGGUUUGAUUCCUGUAUGGAACA